CAGCCGCCACGGGAAUACGUAGGGUGCGAGCGUUAAUCGGAAUUACUGUGCGUAAAGCGUGCGCAGGCGGUUAUGUAAGACAGGUGUGAAAUCCCCGGGCUUAACCUGGGAACUGCGCUUGUGACUGCACAGCUAGAGUAUGGCAGAGGGGGGUGGAAUUCCACGUGUAGCAGUGAAAUGCGUAGAGAUGUGGAGGAACACCGAUGGCGAAGGCAGCCCCCUGGGCCAAUACUGACGCUCAUGCACGAAAGCGUGGGGAGCAAACAGGAUUAGAUACCCGUGUAGUCCCUGUCUCUUAUAC
rnacentral:rRNA from 1 species